GGAGUGUCCAUAACAUUAUAAGCAAGACAUGCAAGAGAAGAGACUGAGAGAGGAGAAUAAAUUGUGGAAAUCAGUGAAAAGUCCAAAAUACUGGCUCACCUCUCAUGUUUACAUACAUCAUGAGUGGCAUCAAGUCAUAUCCUUGACUUUAGGAUAUCUGAACCUUUGGAAAUUGUAACUAGAAGUCUUAAAACAUUAGCUACGUAUUGAUUCUCUCACCUUCAGAAAAAUGGAAUGUCCUCUUUCAUAAGAGGUGGAGUUUUCCCAUGUUGCCCAUGCUGGUCUGGAAC
rnacentral:lncRNA from 1 species